rnacentral:rRNA from 1 species
CAGUCGCCGCGGGAAUACGAAGGGGGCUAGCGUUGCUCGGAAUGACUGGGCGUAAAGGGCGCGUAGGCGGCGGCCAAAGUCAGGCGUGAAAUUCCCGGGCUCAACCUGGGGGCUGCGUUUGAUACUUGGUUGCUUGAGUGGGGAAGAGGGUCGUGGAAUUCCCAGUGUAGAGGUGAAAUUCGUAGAUAUUGGGAAGAACACCGGUGGCGAAGGCGGCUCACUGGACCGACACCGACGCUGAGGCGCGAAAGCGUGGGGAGCAAACAGGAUUAGAUACCCCCGUAGUCCCUGUCUCUUAUAA